GACGAACGCUGGCGGCGUGCUUAACACAUGCAAGUCGAACGCUGAAGCUUGGUGCUUGCACUGGGUGGAUGAGUGGCGAACGGGUGAGUAAUACGUGAUUAACCUGCCCUUGACUCUGGGAUAAUCCUGGGAAACUGGGUCUAAUACUGGAUACGACAUGUCACCGCAUGGUGGUGUGUUGAAAGGGUUUUGCUGGUUGUGUAUGGGCUCACGACGUAUCAGCUUGUUGGUGGGGUAAUGGCUCACCCAGGCGACGACGGGUAGCCGGCCUGGGAGGGUGACCGGCCACACUGGGACGGAGACACGGCACAGCCUCGUACGGGAGGCAGCAGUGGGGAAUAUUGCACAAUGGGCGGAAGCCUGGUGCAGCGAAGCCGUGUGAGGGAUGACGGCCUUCGGGUUGUAAUGCACUGUCAGCACGGACGAAGCGAAAGUGACGGUACGUGGAGAAGAAGCGCCGGCUAACUCCGUG
rnacentral:rRNA from 1 species